rnacentral:rRNA from 1 species
CCCAGGGAUCGGCUCGCGGUCCAUUAGGUAGUUGGCGGGGUAAUGGCCCACCAAGCCGAAGAUGGAUAGCUGGUCUGAGAGGAUGAUCAGCCACACUGGAACUGAGACACGGUCCAGACUCCUACGGGAGCAGCAGUGGGAAUCUUGCGCAAUGGACGAAAGUCUGACGCAGCAACGCCGCGUGUGUGAUGAAGGGCCCUCGGGGUCGUAAA